GUGUUCACUUCAGCAGCACAUAUGGUAAAGUUGGAAUGAUACAGAGAAGAUGAGCAUACCCCUGUACAAGGACAGGCAAAUUCAUGAAGUGUUUCAUUUUUUU